GAGCAGGGGUUUGUGGAGGGGAAGAGUUGGAGCACGGAGCACCCAGCUGCUGUCCCAGUUUGGUGACCGAGGUCAUCUGUGGGCAGGAAAUGCCUCUUCCUCCCAAGGACUUUCCAGAAAGGAACUCUGGUUGAAGCACAUGCAGGAGAAUGAAUGUCAGAAAUGUUGAAACUCUGCCCAGCUGGCAUGAUGUAAUCCCAGCAAGUGCUCUGAUCUGCAGGCUACAAUAAAUAUAUCCUGGGAUGGGCCGUUUGCAGUUUCCUGGAAUUAGAAAGACCUAUCU